rnacentral:lncRNA from 1 species
UUUUUCUCUUUAUAUCUAGAGUUUCUAUAAAAGAUUACCAAAUUUAUUAGUGGACUUUAUGUUGACAAUAUUCUAUUCUUACUGUAUCCACUUACUCUCAGGUCUCUUACUUGCACCCUUUAAUUUUUUUUAAUGUUUUUUAGUUGGAAAAGGAUCUUUUAUUCAAUUGACUUAUUUAUAUGCGGUGCUGAGAAUCGAACCAAGGCCUCACAUAUGCCAGGCAAAUGCUCUACCACUGAGCUACAACUCCAGCCCCUGCACCCUUUAAUUUUUGUUUUAUAUUGUCAUUGUUGGUGUGGGUCUUUGUUGACACUUUGAUUUAGGUCUGUGAUGAUUUGGCAUAUUUUUCUUCUUGACUUCAAAGAGAAAAGUUAACUUGGGUAGGUACUGCAGGUGGAGUUAGAAUUCCAUUUUCUUCCAAGUUCAAGAGAGGCAUUUUUUUUCUUACUGUGUGUACUUUAUCUGAUAUAAUUAUCUUCACUGUCCUUUGAGGUAGGAUUACUGUACUCGUUCUUUGGAGGAGUUAACAGAAUCAAGGUCACAAUAUCUAAGACCAGUGAAGCUGGAAUUUAACUUAGAUUUUUUAACUCUUCCUUUCCUCCUGACUGCAUUAUGUCUAUUGAGCAUUGUCUGGUCUUUUCCACAGAGCAAUUCUUAUUUCCAAAUGAGAUGUUCAAACACAUUCAUACCAUCACAUUUUGAAAGGUCUUCUUAAAGCCUCUUCCAACAUGAAGGUACAUUUUAUUAUCAUUUAAAUAAAACAGUUUCUGAGUGUCCAGGAUGCUAUAUGUGGGGAAUACAGAGCCCUAACCUAGUCUUCACAUUCAAGUACAAACAUCAAAAUAUCAAUGACUUUCCACAUUAGUACCGACUCCUUGGAAAUUUAUAAAUCUUAUCCUUUAUAUAUUAAAAAUUUGACAAACACAAUUUUGGGAGAUGACGAGAAGCGUUAUUGUUCUUUGCAAAAUGUUUCUGACUUGUAAAAAUCUAGACCAGUGUGGUUUCUUUUUUCAAUUAAAAAAUUAAGAAAAAUGUUUUUUUCAAAUAGCCACUGAUGCUGGCUUUUCCUAUGUUCUUUAGUAUAUCAUUUUCCUUGCAGUUUAGAUCUAAUGGUUUGUUUUUCAGGUAUGUUUGUUUCUGAGCAUUGUUUUAAUGGUUUGUCUAAGUUGUGCAUUGUCUUGUUCAUCUUGUUAGUGACAUUUCUGGUUUCUUUGCUUGGUCCUUACAAACCUGGUGUCCUUCAUGUUUUUAAGAAAAUUUUUUUCUAGUUGGGUCCAUGGUGCUUGACUGGGAUGAUUUUGCCACACCAACCCCAAACCCCAGGGCAUAUUGCAGUGGCUGUAGACAUUUUUUGGGGGAUGGUGCUCCAGGUAUUGAACUCAACUGCACUAGACCACUAAGCCACAUCCCCAGAUGUAUUUUGUAUUUUAUUUAGAGACAGGGUCUCACUGAGUUGCUUAGCACCUCGCCAUUGCUGAGGCUGGCUUUGAACUCGUGAUCCAACUGUCUCAGCCUCCCGAGUCUCUGGGAUUACAGGCAUGCACUACUGCACCCUGGCUUGUAGACAUUUUUUAUUAUCACAACUAGUGGUAGUAGGGGUGGGGGUGGGAGGAAGCUGCUAUUGGCAUCUAGUGAUUAUAGGUCUGAGAUGCUUCUGUAUCCCGCAGUACAACACAGGACAGCUCCCCUCACCCCUUUCCCUGUUGCAAAACAAGGAAUUACCUGGUCCAGAAUUUCAGUGUUAAGAUUGAGGAAUUCUAGUUUAGGUGAUUUACAAAGUUUAAGGAAGUCAGCUUCUUACGGUGAAUAAUAUUUCUAGCUUUAUGCAUGUUAUGCAGAUUCCUAUCAGAAAUUCAUUUUGGGGGCUUCUUUUUUGCUUCCCCAGAGGCUUUCCAAAAUUAUACCUGACCUUUUUUUUUUGAUAGAAAACAAAAUACAGUAGCCCCCUUUUAUAGUGGUAGAUGUUUACUUUGGCACUUAAAACA